GAUGAACGCUAGCUACAGGCUUAACACAUGCAAGUCGAGGGGAAACGAUAGAGAAAGCUUGCUUUUUCUAGGCGUCGACCGGCGCACGGGUGAGUAACGCGUAUCCAACCUGCCCACCACUUGGGGAUAACCUUGCGAAAGUAAGACUAAUACCCAAUGACGUCUCUAGAAGACAUCUGAAAGAGAUUAAAGAUUUAUCAGUGAUGGAUGGGGAUGCGUCUGAUUAGCUUGUUGGCGGGGUAACGGCCCACCAAGGCGACGAUCAGUAGGGGUUCUGAGAGGAAGGUCCCCCCACAUUGGAACUGAGACACGGGUCCAAAACUCCUACGGGAGGCAGCAGUGAGGAAUAUUGGGUC
rnacentral:rRNA from 1 species